rnacentral:lncRNA from 8 species
AAUUAUAAGAAAAUGUUGUCAGCUAAAUGAACUAGUGUGGCCCAAAGCCAUUGGUAUAGUCACAUCAGGACAAUUAAAAGUAUGCUAUCCUAAAAGCAUGCUAUCCUUUUCUUCUGAAAGGGUACAUUUUCUUCACUUCAUGCUUCUUUAGACCCGUCUAAAAUAAAUAAUGGAUUUAUUGUUAAGGUGUAGGAUAUAUUACAUGGAUUUAUUUAUUCGACUUUUUAAAAUGGCUUGUUGGCUAUGUGUGGGAGCCAGGAGAUGCUAAAUGUGUUUGUUAUUUAACGGUCAAUUACUGUGAGACUGAAAGUCUUUUGCUUGACAAUCACCGGAUGAUGAAUUUGUGACCGCCACAGCCCUAGUUGAGACCCCGACUGAGUUCACUUGUUUUAUCUCCAGAUACAAAGUGAAAGUAAACUAUACUGUCAACUGAAAAAGGGGAAGGGCUCAACUAUUUAAUAGGUAGAGGCAGCACACGACACUCAACUCAGAAGAAGCUAUAGACAGACAAACUUACAUUUACAAGAUGGGAGCAAUCUACAGUUAUUUCUACCCAGAGUAUUCAGAGGAAACCACAGUUGUCCCUCAAAGUGAGACCACUCAGGACACAUUGGUUACGGACAGGUCACCAGGGCAACAAUGUGAUAAGGCAAAGACAGGUGAUUUCGAUGUUGAACCUCAAUCCGAGAGUUCAGACAGAGAGGCGGGACAAUCCAAUGAAAACACAAAGUGUACAACACAGGUUACAAACAGGUCACCAGGGCAACGAGGUGAUAAGACUAACACAGGGAAUAUCCUGGCGGGAUCCCCAAGUGCCUUUGGUGCUGACGAUAACAUUGAGGAUGUGGACAAGUUAAACGUCUAUGUGAAAUGUGCAGGAAAGACCCUGGAUAUAGAGGUGUUCCCUCUGGAGAAAAUCGCAGUUCUGCUGGAAAAUGGAUGUCAAAAGGCAGGGAAGAACCCCUUAACAAUGCGCUUGUUUACAAUGGGGAAAUUCUGAAUAAGAGCAAAACAGUGAAACACUACAAACUACGAAAAGGAAAUUCCGUCAACCUCAUUCGUGCAGUUUGACAUGUCGAAUAAGUCAACACAUUACUUAUUGUUACUGUAUAUGCUAUACAUAUUUACCUUUGUGUUAACACUAAGUAAUAGAAGAUACACGACACCAUCUAUAUUAUAUAGUGGCAUCACUGAACUACUGCUGUUAUUAACUCAGUUGUAUGUUACACGUUAGUAAAGGAGUAGGUCGUACAGGUAUAGCCUAUGAGGUAGUCUUUGAGUGCCCUCUGCAGGGUAUCGGUGUUG